rnacentral:misc_RNA from 1 species
GAAUUAACAUCAUGUUUAAAUGUAAUGUUACAAACUCAAAAGAGAUAACAAAGGGAAGAGUAAGUGCACAACAACAUACAUCUUAGCCUACCGCUCUAAAUCGCAGCUACGUUACUAUUAAAACUAACAGUACUCCCAACUCACGAUGUUAAGAGUAUCUUUAGCCUGAUCACCUACAAAAUCAAUUCACCUUUUUGAUUCAUAUUUUACCCGUGUACGACUAAUAAUUUCCCCUUUGGCCUAGCUGUCAUCCACCGUGGCAUCUAACAUGGAUUUAGGCUCCACGUCUUACAACACGUAGAUCCUAUCCAAAAAUCAUCAUUUGAUAUCACCACAAAAUGUUUCUCUUAUGGUAAGUCCUUCGUAGGCUCUGAAAUAAGAGUUUUCUCAGAUUCAAAGUCUUGACCUCCCCACUUGCGUAGGCGCUCUGCAGACUGCUCAACCUCUUUAUUCCAAUCGAUUCUAUAGAGUACAAAUGAGAGAAGCAGUGUCUGCAAAGCAAGUCCUGCAAUCAUUCCUCCCCAUAGUCCCAUG